rnacentral:rRNA from 1 species
UACGAAGGGGGCUAGCGUUGCUCGGAAUCACUGGGCGUAAAGGGCGCGUAGGCGGCCAUUCAAGUCGGAGGUGAAAGCCCAGGGCUCAACCCUGGAAUUGCCUUCGAUACUGUCUGGCUAGAGACCGGAAGAGGUAAGUGGAACUGCGAGUGUAGAGGUGAAAUUCGUAGAUAUUCGCAAGAACACCAGUGGCGAAGGCGGCUUACUGGUCCGGUUCUGACGCUGAGGCGCGAAAGCGUGGGGAGCAAACAGA